rnacentral:rRNA from 1 species
GAUGCCUUAGUAGCGGCGAGUGAAGCGGCAAAAGCUCAAAUUUGAAAUCUGGCACUUUCAGUGUCCGAGUUGUAAUUUGAAGAAGGUAUCUUUGGGUCUGGCUCUUGUCUAUGUUUCUUGGAACAGAACGUCACAGAGGGUGAGAAUCCCGUGCGAUGAGAUGUCCCAGACCUAUGUAAAGUUCCUUCGAAGAGUCGAGUUGUUUGGGAAUGCAGCUCUAAGUGGGUGGUAAAUUCCAUCUAAAGCUAAAUAUUGGCGAGAGACCGAUAGCGAACAAGUACAGUGAUGGAAAGAUGAAAAGAACUUUGAAAAGAGAGUGAAAAAGUACGUGAAAUUGUUGAAAGGGAAGGGCUUGAGAUCAGACUUGGUAUUUUGUAUGUUACUCUCUCGGGGGUGGCCUCUACAGUUUACCGGGCCAGCAUCAGUUUGAGCGGUAGGAUAAGUGCAAAGAAAUGUGGCACUGCUUCGGUAGUGUGUUAUAGUCUUUGUCGAUACUGCCAGCUUAGACUGAGGACUGCGGCUUCGGCCUAGGAUGUUGGCAUA